rnacentral:lncRNA from 1 species
UAAUAUCACGAGCAUAAUUAUACAGUUCUUAUCUAUUAAUUAUCAAUCAUACUAUCGUAACUCAUAUAUAAUUCUCACCACAAUAUUCGUACAUACACACUAUUUACCAUUCAAUUUCUCAAUUAAUAACUCAAGAUAUGUUCAUCAUUGGCACCAAAUAUUUGUAAGGUAAUUUACUCAAUGAAUAUGCAUAAUUAAGGGUAAGUUAUAUUAACACAAACCGGAUUCGUUAUUCAUUGUUUGUUCUUGUCUUUCCGUUGUCCCUCGAAGUUUUGACAUUGUUUUCAACCUUAUUGAAUAAACCGGGUAUAUAAAAUAUAUUAAAUUCCCAUUUAUAAACAUAUAAGUAUUCAAUUUAAACCCAUUUUACAUGCUUUUCAAUUUAGUCCCUUACAACCCUAUUAUCCAAAAUAUUCGAUUUUACAGUCCGCCCUAUCAAAUCUAAAUCUGACUUCAUAAUUAUACUCCAGGAACUUGAAAUUAUCAUCAUAUGCCAUUAAUUCUUAUAGUUAUCAUCCCUUACAAAUAAAUCCCUAAUAAUUUAACAAUGACCUCAAAGAUUAAAUUUAAUCAAGCUUUAUUCCAACACCACCCACUUUAAUUCCAACAUGUAUAACAUAUAAUCUAAAUUUAACAACUAAUAUUUCAUGGCUUUCAAACUUAAUUUCUAUAUAACUUCAACAAUGGCAAUUUGAGUCAAUUUCAACAAUUAAAAAUUCUAACAAAUGGGUAGGUAGUAUCAAGUUUCCUAGUUUAGAAUUCUAUAAAAAUUGUUUUGAAAAAUACUUGUUUACCUUUGAAUUUAAUGGUCGGCUUUGAUGGAGUAUUUGGUUUCUUCUUUCUUUUUUGAUCGGUUGGGAGAGAAAGAAUACAUGAAGACGAUGGUGAAUUCCUCUUUCCCACUAUUUA